GAUUCCCUAGUACGGCGAGUGAAGCGGGAAGAGCUCAAAUUUGAAAUCUGGCAGUCUUCGAUUGUCCGAGUUGUAAUCUAUAGAGGCGUUUUCCGUGCCGGACCGUGUCCAAGUCUCCUGGAAAGGAGUAUCAAAGAGGGUGAUAAUCCCGUACUUAACACGACCACCGGUGCUCUGUGAUACGUCUUCUACGAGUCGAGUUGUUUGGGAAUGCAGCUCAAAAUGGGUGGUGAAUUCCAUCUAAAGCUAAAUAUUGGCGAGAGACCGAUAGCGAACAAGUACCGUGAGGGAAAGAUGAAAAGCACUUUGGAAAGAGAGUUAAACAGUACGUGAAAUUGUUGAAAGGGAAACGAUUGAAGUCAGUCGUGUUCUUUGGAUUCAGCCAGUUCUGCUGGUCUACUUCCUUGGAACGGGUCAACAUCAGUUUUGUCCGGUGGAUAAAGGUAGUAGGAAUGUGACUUCUCCGGAAGUGUUAUAGCCUAUUAUCACAUACACUGGGUGAGACUGAGGACUGCAGCUCGCCUUUAUGGCCGGCCUUCGGGCACGUUCGAGCUUAGGAUGUUGACAUAAUGGCUUUAAACGACCCGUCU
rnacentral:rRNA from 1 species